CAGUAGCCGCGGGAAUACGGAGGGAGCUAGCGUUGUUCGGAAUUACUGGGCGUAAAGCGCGCGUAGGCGGUUACUCAAGUCAGAGGUGAAAGCCCGGGGCUCAACCCCGGAACUGCCUUUGAAACUAGGUGACUAGAAUCUUGGAGAGGUCAGUGGAAUUCCGAGUGUAGAGGUGAAAUUCGUAGAUAUUCGGAAGAACACCAGUGGCGAAGGCGGCUGACUGGACAAGUAUUGACGCUGAGGUGCGAAAGCGUGGGGAGCAAACAGGAUUAGAGACCCCGGUAGUCCCUGUCUCUUAUAC
rnacentral:rRNA from 1 species